rnacentral:rRNA from 1 species
CAUCUCUAGCAUUUCCAGUAUUAGAGGCACUGCCUGCCCAGUGACAUCUGUUUAAACGGCCGCGGUAUCCUAACCGUGCAAAGGUAGCAUAAUCACUUGUUCCCUAAAUAGGGACUUGUAUGAAUGGCCACACGAGGGUUUUACUGUUUCUUACUUCCAAUCAGUGAAAUUGACCUUCCCGUGAAGAGGCGGGAAUGACUAAAUAAGACGAGAAGACCCUAUGGAGCUUUAAUUAACUGAUUCACAAAAAACAACACAUAAACCUAACCUUCAGGGACAACAAAACUUUUGAUUGAAUCAGCAAUUUCGGUUGGGGUGACCUCGGAGAACAAAACAACCUCCGAGUGAUUUAAAUCCAGACUAACCAGUCAAAAUAUAUAAUCACUUAUUGAUCCAAACCAUUGAUCAACGGAACAAGUUACCCUAGGGAUAACAGCGCAAUCCUAUUCCAGAGUCCAUAUCGACAAUUAGGGUUUACGACCUCGAUGUUGGAUCAAGACAUCCUAAUGGUGCAACCGCUAUUAAGGGUUCGUUUGUUCAACGAUUAAAGUCUU